AGAAUUUGAUCCUGGUUCAGAUUGAAUGCUGACGGCGUGGAUGAGGCAUGCGAGUCGAACGAAGUCGCAAGACUUAGUGGCGGAAGGGUUAGUAAUACAUGGGUAACCUGCCGUCUACCUCGGAAUAACAGUUGGAAACGACUGCUAAUACCGGAUGAGGUGGUCAUAAGGAAACUUGAGACCAUCAAAGUGGGGGAUCUUCGGACCUUGCGGUAGAUGAGGGGCCCAUGGGAUAUCAGCUAGUUGGUGAGGUAAUGGCUCACCAAGGCUAAGACGUCUAGGCGGAUUGAGAGAUUGACCGCCAACACUGGGACUGAGAACUGCCCAGACUCCUACGGGAGGCUGCAGUCGAGAAUCAUUCGCAAUGGGCGAAAGCCUGACGAUGCGACGCCGUGUGAACGAUGAAGGCCUUCGGGUUGUAAAGUUCUUUCGCCUGGGAACAAGAGAGACCGACGAAUAAUCGGUUAAUUUGAGGGUACUAGGUAAAGAAGCACCGGCUAACUCCGUGCCAGCAGCUGCGGUAAUACGGAGGGUGCAAGCAUUAAUCGGAUUUAUUGGGCGUAAAGGGCGCGUAGGCGGGGAAGUAAGUCAGAUGUGAAAGCCCAGGGCUCAACCCUGGAACAGCAUUUGAAACUGCUUUUCUAGAGGGUAGACGGAGAAAACAGAAUUCCACGUGUAGCGGUGAAAUGCGUAGAUAUGUGGAGGAAUACCGGUGGCGAAGGCGGUUUUCUAGUUUAUUCCUGACGCUAAUGCGCGAAAGCAAGGGGAGCAAACAGGAUUAGAUACCCUGGUAGUCCUUGCCGUAAACGAUGUAUACUAGGUGUAGCCGGACUCAACCCUGGCUGUGCCGUAGCGAACGCGUUAAGUAUACCGCCUGGGGAGUACGCUCGCAAGGGUGAAACUCAAAAGAAUUGACGGGGACCCGCACAAGCAGUGGAGCAUGUGGUUUAAUUCGAUGCAACGCGAAGAACCUUACCCAGGUUUGACAUGCAGAGGACAGCGCCAGAAACGGCGUCUCUCGUAAGAGUCUCUGCACAGGUGCUGCAUGGCUGUCGUCAGCUCGUGCCGUGAGGUGUUGGGUUAAGUCCCGCAACGAGCGCAACCCUUGUCAUUAGUUGCCAACACGUAACGGUGGGAACUCUAAUGAGACUGCCUGGGUUAACCAGGAGGAAGGUGAGGAUGACGUCAAGUCAGCAUGGCCCUUAUGUCUGGGGCUACACACGUGCUACAAUGGUCGGUACAGAAGGCAGCGAAACCGUGAGGUGAAGCAAAUCCCGAAAGCCGGCCCCAGUUCAGAUUGUAGUCUGCAACUCGACUACAUGAAGUUGGAAUUGCUAGUAAUGGCGAGUCAGCAACAUCGCCGUGAAUACGUUCCCGGGUCUUGUACACACCGCCCGUCACAUCAUGGGAGUCGGUCUUACCCGAAGCCGCUGACUUAACCCGCAAGGGGAAGAGGCGUCUAAGGCAAGGCCGAUGACUGGGAUGAAGUCGUAACAAGGUA
rnacentral:rRNA from 1 species